CAACAGGGAUUGCCCUAGUAACGGCGAGUGAAGCGGCAACAGCUCAAAUUUGAAAUCUGGCUCUCGGGCCCGAGUUGUAAUUUGUAGAGGAUGCUUUUGGUGCGGUGCCUUCCGAGUUCCCUGGAACGGGACGCCAUAGAGGGUGAGAGCCCCGUCUGGUUGGACGCCAAUCCUCUGUAAAGCUCCUUCGACGAGUCGAGUAGUUUGGGAAUGCUGCUCUAAAUGGGAGGUAUAUGUCUUCUAAAGCUAAAUACCGGCCAGAGACCGAUAGCGCACAAGUAGAGUGAUCGAAAGAUGAAAAGAACUUUGAAAAGAGAGUUAAAAAGUACGUGAAAUUGUUGAAAGGGAAGCGCUUGUGACCAGACUUGGGCUUGGUUGAUCAUCCAGGGUUCUCCCUGGUGCACUCCUCCGGCCCAGGCCAGCAUCAGUUCGCCCCGGGGGACAAAGACGCCUGGAAUGUGGCUCUCUUCGGGGAGUGUUAUAGCCUGGCGUGCAAUACCCUGUGGCGGACUGAGGUUCGCGCAUUCGCAAGGAU
rnacentral:rRNA from 1 species